rnacentral:lncRNA from 1 species
CUCUCUACCCAAGGGUAGGGGUAAGGUCUGCGUACAUACUACCCUCCCCAGACCCACUAAGUGGGAUUAUACUGGGUUGUUGUUCUUGUUGUUGUUGUGGUGUUGGUGUGUUUGUGGUGGUGGUGGUUUUUUUUUGUUGCUGGAGUGUGUGGGUGUGUGGUGGUGGGGUGGAGUGAUGGGGAGGGAAGGGGGAGGAAGAAAGAUAACACAUGUCAAAUUAUAUAGAACUCGGGAGGGGAAGGAAGAAAGAUAUAUUACCUUUUCGAAAAAAAAAAAGGAGGAAGACAGAUAACACAUACAAAUUAGAUAGAGCUAUAUUCUAUGCAAUAGGAGAGCAACUUCUACCUUCGGAUGAUUAGUUGUAGGAAAUCAAUCUCCUACUAAAGCCUCAACUUGGUGCAACUACUUGUAUGAGAACUUGACUCAGGACCGACUUCUCACACCCCAUGAUUGAUUGUCUUCAUAAACAAGUAUCCUCUCAUAUCAUUCAACCACCUUUCUAAAAGACAUAGCCAACCCUCCAACUCAACCCCCGCCACUCUCAAGAUGAAAGGACAAACAAUGGAGCAUUGCAUGAUAGGAGCAAUAAUAAAGGCAUCAGCAAAUGAAGCAUACUAACUGUAUCCAAAAACAGUAUGAAAGAGAACAAAGAGAGAUGGUUUAACUUCAGAUGGGAGCAGACACUUCAAACAAAUGCAGAGAAAAUGAGUACCUACUUUUGCAUACAUGAAUAAAUUCCACCAAACAUGCUGAUUCAUUUGCAAUAAUAUCAGCACUUGCACAUAAAUCAUAUAACAAAAGAAAGCAUGCGUAGAAAAGAAUAUUGAGACUUACCAUCAGAUAUAUACCUGCUUCAGUUAAUUUCAACCAAUACUCCCAAAAGCUAUCAGAUUCCACGUUGAUUGGCAGUAAAAAUCACUGUGUUUUGGCAUUACUGAUACAUAAAGCACUACUAAUCACAGCACUGAAGAUCCAGUGUCUACAGAGAACUGCAGGCACCCAUGCAGCUUAAGCUGUAUGCACAUUCCAUAGCCACGACAUCCUCUUCAGAAGAGCAAUCUACUUUUAGCAAGAUAUUUUUUGCCAAUAAAAUGACAAGGACACAUAGGAAAUCAUGAUUGAAUAUUAUCACAGAUAAUGAAGAAACAUGUAGGCUCUCUAGUAACGUAGCAAUACUUUUGAAGAUAUUGUGAAAGGGCACAUUGCCCAACAUUGCAUCAUAAUCAAAACUAGAACAACACUUAGAAAUCUCCACCAGGUCUAGCAUCUAGAGCAUCAAAUAGGAAAAUCCAACUAACAGUAGAUUCAUACAAAUAACAAUAAACUGAAAACAAGACAACAGGACACAUGGCCGAGAUCUGACAGUUAAAUUCAUCUAUAGUACAACUACAAAUGGGAAGAAAGGAUGAGGCCGCAGGCUACACAGGUUCUUGGAAGCACAAGAGUUUGAUCUCGGAAAUAUAUGGUGUCAGGUCUUGGCAAAUUUUGAUAGUAGGUAAGAUCUUCGGACAUGGUCCUCUGACAGUUAAAUCCAUCUAUAGUACUACUACAAAAUGGGAAGAAAGGAUGAGGCCGCAGGCUAUACAGGUUCUUGGAAGCACAAGAGUUUGAUCUCGGAAAUAUAUGGUGUCAGGUCUUGGCAAAUUUUGAUAGUAGGUAAGAUCUUCGGACAUGGUCCUCCUAAGGAAAACAUCAAGGUAGACAAUGGAUUUCAAUAUCUGCAUUCAUCCGGUCAUCUGGUUUAGGCAUGAGGCUUCAUCAAAGGUGACAGUAGGCUGGCUUCAGGCUUCAGAUAUCUCGGCUGUUUGUAGAGAGGGAAAGGAAACAAAGGGAAAAGAAUAUCAUUAGUUUCAUAAUUGGAAGAUAGGUUAGGUCAUCAUACCAAACUGUGUGUUACUUUUGUAUGACCCGGGCUAGGUAUAUAAAACCAGCUACUACAAUUAAAAAUUCAAUGCAAUAGAGCCAAAAUUCAUGGGCUACCUGUGGUCCUGUUACCAGCUCUAAUAACCAUAACUUUUUCUCCGGGAGGCGGAGUUUUGCCUUGAUGACCUGGUAACAUAAACUUAACAUAAUGAAUAAGAAUAGGACAAGCAACUUUGAAUUCUUUAGAGCAGUUGAAAGUAGACGAGCUAAAUAAGAAAUCCGCUGCAAGAAAGGGCAGAUCAAACUCACCAACCACAAGUUCUAACCAAAACGACAGUAGGUCAGACGUAAACAUGCAAGAUCCAAAUAUAUGGUCAAAACAUUUAGCUUCUUGAAAAGCAUACAAUUCAAGAAAUAAUGAAAACUACAAUCUAGUGCUUGUUUUUCUUUCAAGAAAAUCUAGAGGCAGCGUGAUAACA